GAUGAACGCUGGCGGCGUGCCUAAUACAUGCAAGUCGAGCGAACAGACGAGGAGCUUGCUCCUCUGACGUUAGCGGCGGACGGGUGAGUAACACGUGGAUAACCUACCUAUAAGACUGGGAUAACUUCGGGAAACCGGAGCUAAUACCGGAUAAUAUAUUGAACCGCAUGGUUCAAUAGUGAAAGACGGUUUUGCUGUCACUUAUAGAUGGAUCCGCGCCGCAUUAGCUAGUUGGUAAGGUAACGGCUUACCAAGGCAACGAUGCGUAGCCGACCUGAGAGGGGGAUCGGCCACACUGGAACUGAGACACGGUCCAGACUCCUACGGGAGGCAGCAGUAGGGAAUCUUCCGCAAUGGGCGAAAGCCUGACGGAGCAACGCCGCGGGAGUGAUGAAGGUCUUCGGAUCGUAAAACUCUGUUAUUAGGGAAGAACAAAUGUGUAAGUAACUAUGCACGUCUGGACGGUACCUAAGCAGAAAACCACGGCUAACUACGU
rnacentral:rRNA from 1 species